rnacentral:rRNA from 1 species
CGUGGAGACAGGUGGUGCAUGGCUGUCGUCAGCUCGUGUCGUGAGAUGUUGGGUUAAGUCCCGCAACGAGCGCAACCCUCACCCCUGGUUGCCACCGGGUAAAGCCGAGCACUCGAGGGGAACUGCCAGCGUCAAGUUGGAGGAAGGCGGGGAUGACGUCAAGUCAUCAUGCCCCUUACGCCCUGGGCUACACACGUGCUACAAUGGCCGGUACAAAGGGACGCGAGACCGCGAGGUGGAGCUAAUCCCAAAAAACCGGUCUAAGUUCAGAUUGCAGUCUGCAACUCGACUGCAUGAAGGAGGAAUCGCUAGUAAUCGCGCAUCAGCACGGCGCGGUGAAUACGUUCCCGGGCCUUGUACACACCGCCCGUCACACCACGAAAGCUGUCUGUACUCGAAGUCGCUGAG